GGCUUCAUACACGUACAGCUCUUAGUAGCUCGCUCACUAAGCUAUCAUAUCAAUGGCGUCCACUACUUCCAUGCCCUCGAUCCUCUUCCUCCUCCUCGCUGCCUUCGCAGCCAGCGCAAGCGCAGCCACCUUCACCAUAAAGAACAACUGUGGUUACACGGUGUGGCCGGCGGGCAUCCCCGUCGGCGGCGGCACGCAGCUGAACUCAGGCCAGACAUGGACCGUCAACGUGCCCGCCGGCACCAGCGGCCGGUUCUGGGGCCGCACCGGCUGUUCCUUCAGCGGCGGGAGCGGCCACUGCGACAGCGGUGACUGCGCCGGUAAGCUCUCCUGCACCGUCUCCGGCCAGACGCCGGCGACGCUGGCCGAGUACACCAUCGGCGGCACUGGCAACCCGCAGGACUACUACGACAUCUCGUGUGUUGAUGGCUACAACCAGCCCAUGUCCUUCUCCUGCAGCACCGGCGUUGCGCUGUCGUGCACGUACGCCAAAUGCCCUGAUGCGUACCAGUACUCGACUGAUGAUAAAAAGACCCAUGCUUGCAGCGCCAACAGCAACUACCAGAUCACCUUCUGCCCGUGAAGAAGCGGCAGAUGAUGAUCAUCACGUCGAUCACAGCGCCACGCAACAGACAGUUCAUACGUAUAUUAUGAAUAACUAGCGCUGCCUAGCUAUGAUCACAGUUCAUAAUAUAUAAGCUAUGUAAUAAAUAAUAAAUCGUCCAUGUGUGCAUGUAUACGGAUAAUGACACACAUGUGGCGUGUUUUGUACUUGGCUAUGAAGAAUCUUCUUAAUAUAUACAUAUGUUUUUGUUCAAUAAUGAUGUGGAUUUUCUGUGCGUGCCAUGAUCGAGCUUUCUGAUUUAUUUUCUUUGAUAAUUUUUAUAUUCUAUUAGAGUGCACGAUUAGUAUCAGAUCCAGAUAGAUCUAUUAACCGAUAAACGCGGAAGUAUAAUCAAUAUAGAAGAAAAUAUACAAACAAGAACGAUACCGAGGCACGAUGUUUUUUAACGAGAUUCGGUGAUGUGCUUAAUCCUCGGAGCAAUGAUUACGAGCGCUCCUCCCCAUAAAACAGCAGCUACACCGGCAUCGAGCGAUCCCGCGGCCUGGCCACCACCCAAUCCAGCCACCCAAGCCGUCUCGUUGGUUACAACAGGGGUGGCCUCAUAUUUAUGGCCCCCUAGGACGCAGAGUUUGACUCCAACUCUAUUUUAGCCCGUAAUACAACUCAAGUCUAACAUAACCAAUUGUACACAUAUUCAACACAUAUCUAACAAACUCUACCUUGGCGAAUAUGCACACCAUCUUGAAGCUAUCCAUGCGCGAAUCUUUGUGUACCUAGGAUUGAGUCGUCUCUUCGGCUGCUCGAUUAGAACGGCCUAAUGAGGCUGAUCUCACAACUGCAUCAUCACCUGGAUAGAACACCACCACAUUUGCAUUGCCAUUUAUGACUUCACCUUCAACAACACUUCUUUUCAGCUUAUAUUGGUGUGCACUUGACUUUUUCUAGACCAAAGGCAUCCACCCAGCUUCAUUAGAAGCGUAACGAGCACCCAUGGUCCAAACACUGGGGAUUCCAGUUUUACAGUUUGGCACACCAUCACUGCAAAACAAAACUCAAUUCUAACUCAAAAGAACUCUCGGAACCAUCUGUAACCAACUAAAAAGACAGGCUAAUGAACAGCCACAGACACCACCCCAUCAUUAAUUUUAUGCCGCAAAACAGCAAGACACUACUGCACAUUAGUUGUUAGCAAGUUUCUCAUCUCUUCCGCUGUAGGUUCCAGCUUCGACUUCAAGAGUGGACGCCAUGUCUUGAUCAGCAUUAGUUUCUUAAAAAUGAUCGCCUUGGGAGAAGUGAGAAUACCUUCUUGUUGAUGGCCAUGUCAUUCCUUGUCUUCCAAAUUGUCCAUAGCGCCCCUACACAUAUAAAAAUUGUUACCUUGCGCUUGGCUCCUCUUCAAUCAUCAGCGAACUCUAUUAUAAAAUCUAUGCAGUUGGUUGGUGAUGACGACCAACCCAAAGAAACUCUAAAACAUGACCAUAGAUAUAUUGCAAUGGGAUAUUGGAAUAAAAUGUGAUAUGUUGUUUUCAGAUUAUCACAAGCAGCACAUUCUUCCGGCCCUGUUCACUGUUUUCUCUUAAGUUGAACUCCUUCCAAUACUCCAUCAAACCGUCGGCCAUGCAGCGCAUCCAAGUGCCUCGGGUUCCUCCACUCUCCACUGUCAGAGCACUACAGAUGUGGCCUCCUUUGUCGACGCUGACGAGCGCGUGGAGGUCGCGCCUAGCUACAGCCAUGCAGAGGCACCACAUGGGGGCUCCCUCUCCGACUCUGUCACUACAGUACGGCCUCCCCAUCCCUCGUGGGCCUUAGGUCAGCUCGGCAUGCUUGCUAGAUUUGGUCAUGCUUCUCGUGUUUGGUUUAGUAUCACAACGGUAAUUGAUGGGAGGACAACAUAUAAGGGGGCGGGGGCAGUCCUCACCUAUCAAGCUAUUCUUUUGCAUUGAGUUAGCCUGAAUGUCAGGGUAUGUUAUGGGCUCUAGUGGACCCUAGGCCCAGCACCGGUAUAGUGAUAUAGGUCAGAUUUCGUUGCACAAUCUAACAUCUUGGAUGGGGUCGGCCCAAAAAACAGCCUAGCAUGUCGUGACUAGGCUGUUGGUUAGGCACGACGCUUGGCUCGUCACGGUCUGGGCAGUACGGCGUGCCAUGAUGGCCCAACCCCCUUUAUGCCGUGCUAGGCUGAGCCAGCCCGUUGGCCAUAAGUAGUGUGGAUGGGAUGAGUUCUGGCCAUGUGCCAUCUAGCUAUAGUGGACUUCUACCUUUUCUUGUAUAUUAUCUUUUGCAUUUGUAUUGCAGUUUUCCUUUGCAGCAAGUCACACACAUCUAGUCUAGCUAGUGUACUAAACGUUUACUUGGUUUGUCCCAAUGCAAGCUAUCACUUGUGUAUAAAAUUAAUUAGACACAAAAAGUCUCUCUGUGUUCAAGAGAAAAAGUAAAUUAAGAUUGUGUGUAACGAUGUACCUAUACAGAUCGAUUUUCGGCGAUAGGCAAGUGGCGCUAGCAUGUUCAAUUGUUCUACAUUCAGAUCCUGGUGAUAUCCAGUUUGGCACUAGCGGUGUUGGAAGAACAUUCAGCGGUUAUGCCCUUCUAGAGAGAGAAAUAUGUAAACAUGACUGAGAAAUUUUUGAAAAUUGCUUGGACGUCAGUCCCCAAUUUCGUUCUUUGUGGCUUGGUUUCACUGUUAAUAAAUAUCGUUGGCUCAUAUAUACACAGAUGGAUAAAGUCUAGUAAAGAGGUGGACAAAUUGAGGAAUUCCAAGGGUGAUUGCUGACUUGUGCAUGUUUUUCAUUUAAUUAACUCCAGCUGUACACAAGAGGCAGUUCUAGAGAACUCAUGCUAGCUAUGAUUUUCCUUAUGUUUUUCUUUUUCAAAAAUGUGUUUUGCUAGCUUCCAUUGCGUUUAGUAAGUUUACAGCGGAUGAUAUUGAGACAUUAUGCAGCAGAAUAAAUAUUCAGGUCAUAAAACUGAUGGCAUAUAUAGUUUUUUUUUGACAAAGAUAACAUAUAUAGUUGAUCAUCGACAAAUAUACAAUAUAGUUGAUCAUCGACAUAUAUACAAUAUGGCAGAAAAAACCUAUGAAUUUCCCCUACAAUAUAGCAGACAUAUAUAUAUGCUCCUGAUUUUCCCUAUGAAUUUCUUAUUACAAGAUGUAAUGUUUGGCACAUGUCAUAGAUGUAUUGACUUGUCCACCCUGAACGCCUAUAAAUGCAUGCCCCUGCCUCCCAACUCUACCCAGGCUUCAUACACAGCCUUAGAGUCUUAGUAGCUCGCUCACUAAGCUAUCAUAUCAAUGGCGUCCACUACUUCCAUGCCCUCGGUCCUCUUCCUCCUCCUCGCCGCCUUCGCAGCCAGCGCAAGCGCAGCCACCUUCACCAUAAAGAACAACUGUGGUUACACGGUGUGGCCGGCUGGCAUCCCCGUCGGCGGCGGCACGCAGCUGAACUCAGGCCAGACAUGGACCGUCAACGUGCCCGCCGGCACCAGCGGCCGGUUCUGGGGCCGCACCGGCUGUUCCUUCAGCGGCGGGAGCGGCCACUGCGACAGCGGUGACUGCGCCGGUAAGCUCUCCUGCACCGUCUCCGGCCAGACGCCGGCGACGCUGGCCGAGUACACCAUCGGCGGCACUGGCAACCCGCAGGAUUACUACGACAUCUCGUGUGUUGAUGGCUACAACCAGCCCAUGUCCUUCUCCUGCAGCACCGGCGUUGCGCUGUCGUGCACGUACGCCAAAUGCCCUGAUGCGUACCAGUACUCGACUGAUGACACCAAGACCCAUGCUUGCAGUGCCAACAGCAACUACCAGAUCACCUUCUGCCCGUGAAGAAGCGGCACAGAUGGUGAUCACGUCGAUCACAGAGCCACGCAACAGACAGUUCAUUCCUAUAUUAUGAAUAACUAGCACUGUCUAGCUAAGAUUACAGUUCAUAAUAUAUAAGAUAUGUAAUAAAUAAUAAAUC
rnacentral:lncRNA from 1 species